GGUAUUAUACUUUAUAUAAGAAGAAAUGAUUUGCAAUCAUUCAGAAAGAUAAUCUUUUAUACCC
rnacentral:tRNA from 1 species